rnacentral:rRNA from 1 species
CUUUUGGGUGUGACUGCGUACCUUUUGUAUAAUGGGUCAGCGACUUAUAUUCUGUAGCAAGGUUAACCGAAUAGGGGAGCCGUAGGGAAACCGAGUCUUAACCGGGCGUUAAGUUGCAGGGUAUAGACCCGAAACCCGGUGAUCUAGCCAUGGGCAGGUUGAAGGUUGGGUAACACUAACUGGAGGACCGAACCGACUAAUGUUGAAAAAUUAGCGGAUGACCUGUGGCUGGGGGUGAAAGGCCAAUCAAACCGGGAGAUAGCUGGUUCUCCCCGAAAGCUAUUUAGGUAGCGCCUCGUGAAUUCAUCUCCGGGGGUAGAGCACUGUUUCGGCUAGGGGGCCAUCCCGGCUUACCAACCCGAUGCAAACUGCGAAUACCGGAGAAUGUUAUCACGGGAGACACACGGCGGGUGCUAACGUCCGUCGUGAAGAGGGAAACAACCCAGACCGCCAGCUAAGGUCCCAAAGUCAUGGUUAAGUGGGAAACGAUGUGGGAAGGCCCAGACAGCCAGGAUGUUGGCUUAGAAGCAGCCAUCAUUUAAAGAAAGCGUAAUAGCUCACUGGUCGAGUCGGCCUGCGCGGAAGAUGUAACGGGGCUAAACCAUGCACCGAAGCUGCGGCAGCGACACUGUGUGUUGUUGGGUAGGGGAGCGUUCUGUAAGCCUGUGAAGGUGGCCUGUGAGGGUUGCUGGAGGUAUCAGAAGUGCGAAUGCUGACAUAAGUAACGAUAAAGCGGGUGAAAAGCCCGCUCGCCGGAAGACCAAGGGUUCCUGUCCAACGUUAAUCGGGGCAGGGUGAGUCGACCCCUAAGGCGAGGCCGAAAGGCGUAGUCGAUGGGAAACAGGUUAAUAUUCCUGUACUUGGUGUUACUGCGAAGGGGGGACGGAGAAGGCUAUGUUGGCCGGGCGACGGUUGUCCCGGUUUAAGCGUGUAGGCUGGUUUUCCAGGCAAAUCCGGAAAAUCAAGGCUGAGGCGUGACGACGAGGCACUACGGUGCUGAAGCAACAAAUGCCCUGCUUCCAGGAAAAGCCUCUAAGCAUCAGGUAACAUCAAAUCGUACCCCAAACCGACACAGGUGGUCAGGUAGAGAAUACCAAGGCGCUUGAGAGAACUCGGGUGAAGGAACUAGGCAAAAUGGUGCCGUAACUUCGGGAGAAGGCACGCUGACACGUAGGUGAAGUGAUUUACUCAUGGAGCUGAAGUCAGUCGAAGAUACCAGCUGGCUGCAACUGUUUAUUAAAAACACAGCACUGUGCAAACACGAAAGUGGACGUAUACGGUGUGACGCCUGCCCGGUGCCGGAAGGUUAAUUGAUGGGGUCAGCGCAAGCGAAGCUCCUGAUCGAAGCCCCGGUAAACGGCGGCCGUAACUAUAACGGUCCUAAGGUAGCGAAAUUCCUUGUCGGGUAAGUUCCGACCUGCACGAAUGGCGUAAUGAUGGCCAGGCUGUCUCCACCCGAGACUCAGUGAAAUUGAACUCGCUGUGAAGAUGCAGUGUACCCGCGGCAAGACGGAAAGACCCCGUGAACCUUUACUAUAGCUUGACACUGAACAUUGAGCCUUGAUGUGUAG